rnacentral:rRNA from 1 species
CAGUCGAACGAAGCACUUUAUUUGAUUUCCUUCGGGACUGAUUAUUUUGUGCACUUAGUGGCGGACGGGUGAGUAACGCGUGGGUAACCUGCCUUGUACAGGGGGAUAACAGUUGGAAACGGCUGCUAAUACCGCAUAAGCGCACAGCAUCGCAUGAUGCAGUGUGAAAAACUCCGGUGGUAUAAGAUGGACCCGCGUUGGAUUAGCUAGUUGGUGAGGUAACGGCCCACCAAGGCGACGAUCCAUAGCCGACCUGAGAGGGUGACCGGCCACAUUGGGACUGAGACACGGCCCAAACUCCUACGGGAGGCAGCAGUGGGGAAUAUUGCACAAUGGGCGAAAGCCUGAUGCAGCGACGCCGCGUGAGCGAAGAAGUAUUUCGGUAUGUAAAGCUCUAUCAGCAGGGAAGAUAAUGACGGUACCUGACUAAGAAGCACCGGCUAAAUACGUGCCAGCAGCCGCGGUAAUACGUAUGGUGCAAGCGUUAUCCGGAUUUACUGGGUGUAAAGGGAGCGCAGGCGGUGCGGCAAGUCUGAUGUGAAAGCCCGGGGCUCAACCCCGGUACUGCAUUGGAAACUGUCGUACUAGAGUGUCGGAGGGGUAAGCGGAAUUCCUAGUGUAGCGGUGAAAUGCGUAGAUAUUAGGAGGAACACCAGUGGCGAAGGCGGCUUACUGGACGAUAACUGACGCUG